rnacentral:lncRNA from 1 species
CCCGACUCAAAACCUAACCCCUAACCUCUCCACCGCCUACCUUGCGAAGCUCCCUCUCGAAAGUUCCAGGCGACCGUCGACCUUAACUCCGGCCGGCAAAACAGCAGCAGCAUUCCGCGAGUUGUUUGCCCACGUUCUCGUUAAGAUCUAUACCCUCUAGCUACGACCGAUUUCGAGGCGACUGACCGCGUCCGACUGCCAAAUAACCAGGACGACCACUGUUACAACCCUUCCGUCGGCGGUAGACAAGCACUGAACUACCUCAUUCAUGUUGGGUAAGUACAAAGAAGGCGACAUAAGUACAAAUAAAUUAGCAAAUUUUUUUACGUAUUCCUACUUCUUCCUGUGAAAUUUUUUUACGUAUUCCUGCUUCUUCCUCUGAAAAUUGGAUUUGGUAUACAAUAGACUCGUUUUAUCAUUUUCUGUAAGUGAGAAUAUGUGGUGAUUUCGUGUUAUAUAUUGAGUCUUUGUAUGUGUGAAUGAAGAUGGGUGAAACUGUACAUUUUUAUCAUUUAAUACUUCCAAUUGUUAUUGACCUUUUGGAGUUAGGACCAGGUGCCCCCUUCCAGGAAUUUUUUAUGGGAGUCUUGUGGUUCAGAUUUGUUUGAUUUAGGAGCGUUUGCAAUUAGAGGGGGAGUUUGUAUCAUUAGUGGCCAAUGUGCUCUGUAAUUUUACAUGGUCUUGGAUACAAAUGGAAAAACUUCAUUCUUAAUAAGUUAUCUACUUCUCUAACAUUUUUUUAUCAUAUUGCCCUAAAUCUCUGAGUUUGAAAUCUUUGUUCCUCAGUUCGUUCAUCCGCAUCUCAGUCUUCUUCUGCU